UCCUCCUUAGCUCAGUUGGCUAGAGCGUCUGACUGUUACACGUCCUCUUCCGGGGACGAGUUGAUAUAUCAGGAGGUCUACAGUUCGAACCUGUAAGGGGGAG